rnacentral:lncRNA from 1 species
CAGAGACACCACUGAAGAUGUGUUAUGGUACAUCUGGUGCCUAACAGUCCUUUAUGCAACCAAGCUGAUCCUUCCCAUUUCUCCUACUUUGGAGCAUCUCCUUAAUCCAGACAAUGCUACUUCUCUUACCUGGACACUACUUGAAUGGUUCUCCCCCAUCCCAUGGUGGAGAAAGAAACUGCAACAACUGUCAGAAAUUUACAACCUUGAUCGUAUGCUUGCCCCUGAAGCACAACUGUUCACAUC